GUGUCGAGGAGAGGGAGAGCCGGAGGGAGGGGGAUGAAUAUUCAUAAGUGGGCGGUGCUGCGGAUGGCCGGCGCUGAUGUCACAGUGCCACUAGGCUACUGAAAACCCUGUUACAGCCACAUUUGCAUAUAUAGAAAAACUAAGAUUGCAGGCGAAAAGCCGGAUGGAUCCGGGUAAGGUUGAUAUUAUCACCUUAUUAGAUCACUUCUAACUGCUCACAGAACCCUCAAGUCCCCUCCCAGAUCCAUCUGUAUGGUGCAAGGAUUAAACGCCACACCCUCAGCCAGAAAGAGCAUCACCACUGAGGCCACUGAUUGGCUGUGAUGGUCAUCUGAAGUCCAUCUACUGCUUACAUGACACCGGAGUGCCAAAUGCAGGCAGAAGAUCAGCACAGAGUUUACAGUUUACAUUAUAAGUGCCUGGCUCAUUGUAUCACACAGCCAUCCAGCCUAUAGCCGGCCGAGACGGGACAUUGCUGUGGUGGGCAACUAGCUGUGAUGCAUUGACCACGGGCAACCAAGAAGAUGACUGCAGUGGAGCAGCAAAAUCGGGGGACCGAAGGAGUGGCGUGUACGAAUGAUCCUGAAUCCUCAAAGAUCCUGCAAGCAACAAACAACAUUACCUGAAAAGAAGAGCCUAAAGGUAAUAUGACACUAAAGAAACUCUGCAAAGAUCCUGCAAGGCUGGAAAGGGUAGGCUUACUGGACUUUGGGUUAGGUCAUGUG